rnacentral:rRNA from 1 species
CUAAGAAGAAACAGGCGCGCGGAGGAUGCCUAGGCGUUCAGUGCCGACGAAGGACGAGGUACACCACGAAAGGCUCCGGUGAGGCGUGUGCAGCCGCAAGCAGCCGGAGAUGUCCGAAUGGGGAAACCCGGUCGCAAGACCACGCGAGAGCGAGGCAAGUGGGUGAACUGAAACAUCUCAGUAGCCCGAGGAAAAGAGAGGAUUCCGCUAGUAGUGGCGAGCGAACGCGGAGCAGCCCAAACCGAAGGACACGUCUUUCGGGGUUGUAGGACUUCCAGCAGCAUCGUGAAACGAAGCCGAAGUGCCUGGGAAGGCGCACGAGACAGGGUGAGAGUCCCGUAGGCGUGGCGAAGCGAUGUGGGGAGGAUCCUGAGUAGCCCAGGGCACGCUAACCCGGGGUGAAGCAGGGGGGACCACCCUCCAAGGCUAAAUACACUGGACGACCGAUAGCGCAAGAGUACCGUGAGGGAAAGGUGAAAAGAACCCCGGCGAGGGGAGUGAAAGAGAUUCUGAAACCGCGUGCUGACAACCGGUCAGAGCCUCCUAGUGAGGUGAUGGCGUGCCUUUUGGAGCAUGAGCCUGCGAGUGUAUGGAUGUGGCAAGCUUAAGGGAGAGACACCCGGAGGCGAAGCGAAAGCGAGUCUGAAGAGGGCAAGAGUGGCAUCUAUACGACACGAAACCAGACGAGCUAACCAUGAGCAGGGUGAAAGUCCGGUGACACGGACGGGAGGCCCGAACUCACGUGGAUUGCAAACCAUGGGGAUGACUUGUGGUUAGGGGUGAAAUGCCAAACGAGUUUGGAGAUAGCUUGUUCUCCUCGAAAUCGCUUUAGGGCGAGCGUCGUAGAGAAGUGACGGAGGUAGAGCACUGUUUGGGCUAGGGGGCGUCAAGCUUACCGAACCCAGACAAACUGCGAAUGCCGUCAUGGGGACUGCGGCAGUCGGACGGCGGGGGAUGAGCUUCGUCGUCGAGAGGGAAAGAACCCAGACCCCCGGCUAAGGUCCUGAAGUGGGUGCUUAGUGGGAAACGAUGUGGUCUUGUGAAGACAGCCAGGAGGUUGGCUUAGAAGCAGCCACCCUUGAAAGAGUGCGUAACAGCUCACUGGUCGAACGGGACUGCGCGGACGAUGUAACGGGGCUGAAGCACCCCACCGAAGCCAGGGAUUAGAUGGUAGAGGAGCGUCGCACGUGCGGGGAAGGCAGUCUGGCAAGGACUGUUGGAGCGCGUGGGAGUGAGAAUGCAGGCAUGAGUAGCGAAAGAUGAGUGAGAACCUCAUCCGCCGAACGUCUAAGGGUUCCGACGGAAGGUCAGUCCGCGUCGGGUGAGUCGGGCCUAAGCCGAAGCUGAAAAGCGCAGGCGAUGGACAACAGGUGAAGAUUCCUGUACCGACAGAUGGAGGGAAGCACGACCGCCUGGGGAGGGUGAGCCUGCGAGUGGAAGCAGGUGGCAAGGUGGGAAAGCCACUGAUGCCGAGGCGCAAGCCGAGAAGUCACGGGUACCGAGGUGCAAGAAAAGCGUGUGGAACGAUGAAGUCUGUUGACCGUACCCCAAACCGACACCGGUAGACGAGUAGAGGAUACUAAGGCGCACGGGAGAACCUUCGUUAAGGAACUCGGCAAAAAGGCCCCGUAACUUCGGGAGAAGGGGCACCCCUGAGAGGGGGUGGCAGCAAAGAGGCUCUACCGACUGUUUACCAAAAACACAGGUCUGUGCGAACGCGCAAGCGGACGUAUACGGGCUGACGCCUGCCCAGUGCCGGAAGGUUAAGGGGAGCGGUGCAAGCUGCGAACUGAAGCCCCGGUGAACGGCGGCCGUAACUAUAACGGUCCUAAGGUAGCGAAAUUCCUUGUCGGGUAAGUUCCGACCCG